rnacentral:rRNA from 1 species
AACGAACGCUGGCGGCAGGCCUAACACAUGCAAGUCGAACGCUCGUAGCAAUACGGGAGUGGCAGACGGGUGAGUAACGCGUGGGAAUCUACCCGGUGGUACGGAAUAACCCAGGGAAACUUGGGCUAAUACCGUAUGUGCCCCGAGGGGGAAAGAUUUAUCGCCAUCGGAUGAGCCCGCGUCGGAUUAGCUAGUUGGUGGGGUAACGGCCUACCAAGGCAACGAUCCGUAGCUGGUCUGAGAGGAUGACCAGCCACACUGGGACUGAGACACUGCCCAGACUCCUACGGGAGGCUGCAGUCGCGAAUCAUUCACAAUGGGCGCAAGCCUGAUGAUGCCACGCCGCGUGCGGGAUGAAGGCCCUUUGGGUUGUAAACCGCUGUCAAGGGAAGGGGAAACGUACGUCACGAAUAGUGUCGUGCUUGACUGCUUUUCUAAAGGAACGCCCCGGCAAAACAUGUGCCAGCAGCCGCUGUAA